rnacentral:rRNA from 1 species
GACGAACGCUGGCGGCGUGCUUAACACAUGCAAGUCGAACGGAAAGGCCCUGCUUUUGUGGGGUGCUCGAGUGGCGAACGGGUGAGUAACACGUGAGUAACCUGCCCUUGACUUUGGGAUAACUUCAGGAAACUGGGGCUAAUACCGGAUAGGAGCUCCUGCUGCAUGGUGGGGGUUGGAAAGUUUCGGCGGUUGGGGAUGGACUCGCGGCUUAUCAGCUUGUUGGUGGGGUAGUGGCUUACCAAGGCUUUGACGGGUAGCCGGCCUGAGAGGGUGACCGGCCACAAUGGGACUGAGAGACGGACCAGACUCCUACGGGAGGCAGCAGUGGAGAAUAUUGCACAAUGGGCGGAAGCCUGAUGCAGAAAAGCCGCGUGCGGGAUGAGGGCCUUCGGGUUGUAAACCGCUUUAGCCUGUGACGAAGCGUGAGUGACGGUAAUAGGUAAAGAAGCACCGGCUAACUACGUG